GUCUUGGUGGCGUAAUGGUAACGCACUCCGUGAUGAUCUAAUGCAUUUUUAUAUCGAUUAACAGAAAGUCCGGAGUUCGAUUCUCCGUCAAGCCA